rnacentral:rRNA from 1 species
UACGUAGGGGGCGAGCGUUGUCCGGAGUUACUGGGCGUAAAGGGCGUGUAGGCGGUCGGCCAAGUCUGAUGUGAAAGCCCGAGGCUCAGCCUCGGAAGUGCGUCGGAAACUAGUCGGCUGGAGCGCGAUAGAGGAGGGUGGAAUUCCUGGUGUAGCGGUGAAAUGCGUAGAUAUCAGGAGGAACACCGGCGGCGAAGGCGGCCCUCUGGAUCGUUGCUGACGCUGAGACGCGAAAGCGUGGGGAGCAAACAGG